CCGUAAUCUGCAAAAACCCACCCUUACCCUUUAACUUCCCCCCUGCAUGACCUCAAACCUCAAAUCCCCCGCAAGCGACAAGACAAAAACACAGCACUGCUAUUAUAAUCGACAAGACCGUUUCCAGCGCCGCGCGCUUGCAGAGUAGGUGUGUUGUGAGGAAACAUGCUGCUCUGUUCGCUGCCUGACGUCACCCCUGCGCGCGCUUCCAUGGAUGCGAGCGCGAGAGUACAGUGACAGCGCCUCGUCCACUGUACGCAACACUGAGCGCGGCUCAGCACUAUCUCAGGCUACACGCGAGAAAUGGCAGCAGAUCAUGGGAUGUGACUAGAACAUCCAGCUUUAUUUGAAGCCGGUCGUCCGCCCUGCUCUCACGGGAUGCAGUACUUUAAACCCACCGUUCCCAUUAUUUUAAUCAAGUGAUCACUGCCCUCCUUUUAUCCGGGAAUAACGUUGGCAGCUUUAACAUUUGUAUUAAUUAUUUCUCGAGUUUAUAUCCAACUUUACCAGGUUCGACUCUGACUUAAAACUGAGGCUCAAUAACUGGAUUUUAUCGGUGGAACAAAAGGCGACUGCUGCUGCCUGGAUAUUAAAUUUUACUCUUGGAUUAUUGUCUCAGCAUCAUGAGCACGAGUGUAGUACCCUAUCAGCAAAGCUCAUGCAGCAGUGAACGGAGCUCAGGACCAAUCCACUGCUUUCGCUGUCGGGAGGUGUGUAAAGGAGAGGUGGUACGAGUGCAGCAUGUGCACUUCCACAUCAAAUGCUUCACCUGCCAAGUAUGUGGCUGUGAUUUGGCACAUUCAGGAUUCUUCCAGAAAAGUGGCGAGUACAUCUGCACAGCAGACUACCAGCGCCUGUACGGCACAAAGUGUGACAGUUGUGAGGACUUUAUCUCAGGGGAGGUGGUCUCUGCUCUGGGCCGCACAUAUCAUCCACAGUGUUUCGUCUGCAGCAUAUGCAGGAAACCUUUUCCAAUUGGGGACAGAGUGACAUUCAGUGGUAAAGAAUGUGUCUGUCAGCACUGUUCCCUCAAACUGGUUAAUUCCAAUGAGCCAGUCAAAAUCCAUGGGCCCAGCCACUGUGCAGGUUGUAAGGAGGAGAUUAAACAGGGUCAGUCUCUGCUGGCAUUAGAGAAACAGUGGCACGUCAGCUGCUUCAGGUGUCAGACCUGCGGCCUGGUCCUGACGGGAGAGUACAUCAGCAAAGACGGGGUUCCUUACUGUGAGUCGGACUACCAUGCCCAGUUUGGGAUAAAGUGUGAAACAUGCAACAGAUACAUCAGUGGACGUGUGCUGGAGGCUGGAGGGAAGCACUACCACCCGACUUGUGCUCGCUGUGCCAGGUGUCAGAUGGUGUUUAUAGAAGGAGAGGAGAUGUAUCUCACAGGUUCAGAGGUGUGGCAUCCCGUGUGCAAACAAGCAUCUCGAGCAGAGAGGAAACUCAGACUCAGGCGCACAUCAGAAACCUCCAUCUCUCCACCAGGCUCUAGCAUUAGUUCACCUAGCAGAGUCAUCUGUGCUAAAAUGGAAAACGAGAUCCUUGAUUACAAAGACUUGGCAGCACUACCUAAAGUUAAAGCCAUUUAUGAAGUGCAGAGGCCAGACUUCUGGUCCUAUGAGCCCAGUCACAGAUACAGUUCCGAUGACAAGCUAGAGCGUCUCAGCUAUGGGGAGUCUUUGGGCACACUCUCCCCUUAUUCUCAGGACAUGUAUGGCAGUAUGGACAUGAGGAUGAGAAGAUCCUCCAGUCCGGGGUACAUAGACUCCCCCACUUACAGCAGACAGGGCAUGUCUCCCAUCAUGCCCCGCUCUCCACAGCACUAUUACAGAUACGGCACUGAGAGUGGCAGAAGUUCACCCUAUUACAAUCAGCUAGAUGCCCGGUCCGGCACGCCCACCACAAACCAAGCUCCCAAGCAUUUCCAUGUGCCAGCCACAGGGGAGCCCAACAUCUACAGGAAGCCUCCCAUCUAUAAGAGACAUGGCAAUCACUGCAAUCCAGCAACCAAGAGCAAGACCAGUGAGGACAUUGUCCAUUCUUCCAAAUUACCAUCAGCCUACUCGCCUGAACACUACCAGCACUCAGAGUCUGAUAACUACCAUUACACCAGCUCUCCUAAAUCUUUACGUGCUAUUCGGAGAAGGUACUCAUCAGGUGGAGAAGAGGAUGGCUGGAGUCACGGUCUUCAAAGAAUUCAGGGUGGUAUCGGUAGGAUGAUCUUGAAGGAGGAGAUGAAAGCCCGCUCCGGUUCCUAUGACAACGACCCCUGGGGCAGCGCACGGAACUCCCGCAGUGGGAGCAGGGAGAUGUUGCACAGCAUGGGCCACAACAACACAGUUAACGGCUCUCCUCGGACAAACUUUGCAGUUGAGAAUGACUACAUAUCCAAGUCAGCUUCUCUGCCCGGAUAUGGCAGGAAUGGAUUGCACAGGCCACAAAGUGCAGACUACUAUCAGUAUGAUAGUGGCAGUGAAGUCAACUGGGGAAACAGAGAGUACAAGGUAAGGAUGAUGGUUUAGCAUUACCAGAGGAUUCAAGAGGGCCCAGAGAGACACUAAACAUCCUGAUACAGAGGCACCUCUGAAACAUUAGCCCACUGUCCACUCCAGAGGAAAGCCUAGCCAUAGUAUGUCAGUCUAAUGAACAUUGAUAGGUCAAAGAAAUGCUGGUCAAAGCAUGCAGAAACCCGAGGAUGGAAAAGUAAUGCUUCCAGGUCAUAAGGUCACAGUGUUAUUUCCCCAGCUGGCCCUUAGUGAGUUGGAGACUGCAGGGGGCAUGGAGAGGGCAGGAGUUUGUCUGACCCGUUUGCUUCUGGUUGGUCAGGAAUAUAUUGUUCUGCUUCCUGUCUCAGUUAUAGCUUCUGUGCCAGAGGCUUUGAAAGUGAGAGGAAAAGGAGGUCCACCAAUGCACAGCUUGCUCUGAGAACAGUGCUUAGCUUUCCAUUACCAAUCUAUGAAAGAAAAUUUCACAGAGCCAGGACAGUUAUUUGUAAAUAAAUGAAUAUAAGUUUCAAUAUUUACGUAUUUUGAAUUUAAUUAAAUGCAUGGCUAACUUUCAUUACAGAUCUACUCAUAUGAAGCACUUCUUGUGACCUCCAGGGGGCGUAACAGGUUACCAAAGGAUGUAGACCGGGCCAGAUUGGAGCGGCAUCUUUCCCCUGAGGAGUUCUAUCAGGUGUUUGGGAUGACGAUGGUUGAGUUUGACCGUCUGGCACUGUGGAAGAGGAACGAGAUGAAGAAACAAGCCCGGCUGUUCUAACAUUUCUGUCCCACACGCACACAGAGACCUGAAUACCUGUUCCAGUCUAACUAACAUAUAGUUAUGCCUGGUACCUAGAAAUAGUGCUGCUGUUCUUUGUGACAGAUGCAUAUAUAUGAUUAGACAGGCUAGAAGAAAAAAAAACUGAAAGACAGAAAUAAAUAACAUAAACAGAAGGGUGGGAACAUUUUAGUUGUACUUGAGUGUAAAGUGGUUCUAAGGCACAUUUUAUUUUGUUUCUGAAUGACAAGACGAAGGAAUCAGGAUUUGUAAGGAUUUUGAAUUUUGCCUUUUGCCUUAUGUUCUCUAUUAAUUUAUGCACCAGCAAAGUGAGUGAACAGAAUGUAAAUAUGACUAAUACAACUAUAAUGAGAGUGGAUGAAUCAUUCAAAUUACCCAUCAAGUACAUUAUUAAGUAAUAUUUAAUUUGAAAGGUUAUAAAAUUAUAUUUUUCUGUCCUUUUAUUUCACUAUUUUACAAGGACUACAUAAGUUUCGGUGGACUGAAAUAAGAGCUGAUGUGCUUGACAAAGAAUACCAAAGUCUGACUGUUAUUUGUGAAGUAAGCAGACGAAACUGAGCACUACGGUGCUGUACUUUGUUCAGGUCAUUUCCAUUGAGUAACUCAUUCUGAAUGUACACUUUUCUCACAAGAAGACUUUAGGAUUAUUAGAGUAAUAUUGCUGAAACACACAUUGUAUAUUGUGAUGGUAGAAAUACAUAUGGCUUGUGUCUGAUAAAGAUGUUGAAGACGACACAGAUACUAGGAAAGAAUUAAGAUGCAAUGUUUUUCUUUCUUUCUGAGAUGGUAUGCUCUUUAAAAAGAGAUCUGUUGGUUAGGUUAGACCAGUUUACUUUCAUCACUCUUGUAAGGAUGGAUCAGGAAAUGCUGUGAUACCUUAAGUGGGUUUAAUAUAUUUUUGGGUCAUGCCAGGGCGAUUACGUCACCUGAUUUAGUAAUUAAAUAAAUGCAGAGGGAGUAAACAUGAAUUGUAUGGCCAAUAAUAUGGAUAACAUGUUCGCAGUCAUAUUAUUGGAUGAAAAACACAUUAUCACACCACUGAAGCAAGAAACAAAUAACAAGCUGUAACCCUGAUAAGGACCUAACAGUAACCGUGGGGUCUUUCAUGCCAAGGGAUACUGAUAGUUUUUGUACCUCACUGACAAGCAGGUGAAACCAUCAUGUUUUCUGCCUUUGUGUGUAGUGUUUACAACCUGUUUGCCCAAUAGAUUGUUAUGAAGUGUUCUAUUAAUUUCAUAGUGAAGGAAGAGAGCUAGAGUAUAACCAUAUUUUUGAGUCUCUCUUUUUUAAUCACUAUUGCUACCUUACUAACUUUAUUUAUUUGUCAGUUUCAACAGACGAUGUACAUCUUAUAAUGCAAUAAAAGUUUGUUUUCUUCUGUAAAA